rnacentral:lncRNA from 1 species
CUCUUCCCCUUGAAGGCCACUCCCAUCCAUCUAUCUGACUUGUUUUGCCCUGAACCUUCGGGGCCAGCAAACACUGAGACAAAAACACUGUGAGGCCAAGUGAGAGACGGCCAAAUCUGAGUUCCCUUGUAGUCUCCCGGAUGCCUGGACUCAGGUCCAGCUCAGCAGCUCUCAAUGCCUUUCAGCUCAGUUCCUGGGGUCCCCAAGGGAUUUUCCAGCCUCAGCCUUGUCUUCCCCACAACCUUGCCUUGAGUUUGGAGUAGAACCUGCCCCCAGCACAUACAUUCCCAGUGGUCCCUCCCCGACCAGCUCCUGAGUGGCCCUUGCUUUCUCACCGUUGGGUCCCUGCACCUUAUUCUCUUCCCUAGAGCCACACACUCCUUCCUGUUGGCUCAAGUGGGGUCAGGAAAAGUCUUGCAGUUGAUGACCUGCAAACCUGACACUUGGGCAGGUGGUCAUGGGGUUCCCCAGGAGUCGAGCCAAGGAAGUCCAACCCUGGUGUGCUUAUCUACAUCCUGUACAUGGGGGACACCAUCAAGAAGGCCAAAGUCUGGGAGAGUGACAUGAAGGGAAGUGGUGAAUGACAAACAGAAACUGAAGGCCAGCUGGACAACUGAGAAGAUGUGGCUCUCAAGCAUUUCAGAUGGGCACAUGGGGGAGGGGCAACCUCAGGGCCCCAGUCCUGACUCAAGCCCGUCCUUUGGACUGUGAUGACCAUGCACCCUGAGCACUACCACACCUUUAUGCUCCUCUCCUCCCACCCAGCCCCCUGCUGAACCUGUCUGCUUUCUGUGCCCUGCUAGCUAUUUCCCCACAUGCCCAGACUUUGCCCCCAGGAGUGCCAAGCACAGGUUGCCAGGUCUAUCUCAGAUGUAUUAUCUGUCCCCAGGCUGGGGUAGGAAAUGCCCUGCUAAGACCAAAAGCAGGUCCUCCAGACUCUAGCAGAGGCCCCAGUGUGACCCGUGACUUUGUUAAAAACCCUCUUGGAGCUUAGCCAUCUUUGGCCAUUCUCUGAACCCGGCUGGGAUUCACACACUCAAGUCCCUAUUUGGUUUUGGUCAAGGUCUCAGUUCCCUCGGCACUAUAUCUAACCCUGCUCUGCUCUGCUCUGCCCUGAGCGUGCUCUCUCUCCCCUCAGGGAUGUAAUUUUCAAGUUCUUCCUAGGAUUUUUUGCCAUCAACCUGGCCAUCCCUGUCCUUUCUUCAUGGCCUCUCAGGACUAAAGCUGCAGAGAUAAAAUCCUGAGGACCAUGAGAGUAGAGCCUCGACCAUCUUGUUUAUCACUCUAGCCUCAUUAUCAGCAUGUAAUAGGUGCCCAAUAAAUAGCUCUACAGGGGCCUUGGCUCCCCUUAAGGAGGUAGAUGGUCUCGGUGUCAGGGCCUUGACCCCUCUUCACCCCAUACUGAUCCGAUGCACCCUUGUGUGGAGUGCCAGGAUCCCAUUCAAUGCCAGGUGUGUCUCAGGGCACCAAGGAUGGGGCUGAUAUAUCAGAACCCUGCAUCCUUCUCCUUCUGACUCCCCAGUUUCCUUUUGUGUCCUUCUUGUUCCUAUCUUUGUUUAUAUCCCAGUGGCCAUGAGAGCUCUCCUGGGAAGACCAUUCUGCUAAAUUACAAAUCGAAUCAUGUUCUGCUAAACCACAAGUGCAUCGAAUUGGGGGAAACAAUUGCCAUGGCAACAUGCCACACCUUGUGCAGGUUCUUCAUUUGGGGAGUGGUCACUCAGUUGAGCAGCAAGGUGGUCAUUCUGGGCACAUGGUUUCAAUUAAAAUUCAUUAAGAGAAUUUCCCUGGUAACCCAGCCAAGUGAUGAUUUGGCACCUGGUACCUUCUUGGUGAACUAUCUAGAAAGAGACUUUCCCAACACAUGGGGACUCAGUUCAGUCAGAAAUACCUAGAAAUGUGGGUGGGAUAUGCUCCCAAACUCUGGGUCUUCAGAGACACCAGACCAACCUGGACAGCAGAACAAGGUCUGUGGUGUCCACAAAGGUCAGCAGUGUCCACUAAUGACCUAGAAAGGAAGAGCAGAGAGUCUGUCAUGAACACCCUCCAGCCCUAUACUGCAGUGUAGCCCUUCUCAAAGUCAGGGUGAGCUUACUGAGAUAAUGGACUUAAGUAAGUCCCAGAGAAGAGGGUGGCUGUCACUGGAAGAGUCUUCUUGCUUCUUGAGAACAAUCUAAAAUUCACUUACAGGUGAUUUCUGCAAACCCGAUUAUUUUGUGGAUGUCUACAAGAGAGUGUGACUUCAAGGAAUACUGAGGACACUUGUCUAUCAGGUGACUUCCUUUGUCAUACAAGCAAUAAACCCAACAGCUAUAUUCAUUUUGCAGAUGAAUUUUUUUAUUUGCUCUAAUUAGCUAUACAUGACAGUAGAAUGCAUUUUGAUUCAUUGUAUACAAAUGGAACAUAACUUCAUUUUUCUGGUUGUACACAAUGCAGAGUCACACCAUUCGUGCAAUCAUACACAUACACAGAGUAAUAAUGUCUGUCUCAUCCCACCAUCAUUUCCCCCCAUACUCCCUCCCCUACACUUACUCCCAUCUGCCCAAUCCAAAGUUUCUCCAUUCUUCCCUUGGCCCACCCGCCCCCAAUUAUGGAUCAGCAUCCGUUUAUCAGAGAAAACUUUUGGCCUUCGAUUUUUUUGAAGUAUUUUUUUAGUUGUUGAUAGACCUUAAUUUUAUUUAUUUAUUUAUAUAUGGUGCUGAGAAUCGAACCCAGUGCCUCACACAUGUCAGGCAGGCUCUCUACCACUGAGCCACAAUUCCAGCCCUGGCCUUUGAUUUUUGGGGAUUGGUUUACUUCGCUUAGCAUGAUAUUCUCCAACUCCAUCCAUUUACCUACAAAUGCCACAAUUUCAUUAUUAUUUAAAGCUGAGUAAUAUUCCAUUGUUGCAGCUGAAUUUUUGAGUUAAGCUUUCCUAUCUAAGUCUAAUGCUAUCAAGGAUAAUAUACAGGGGAUGAGGACAGAUCAUCCAGGAGCAGCGAUGUUGGCCUUGUUCACACUUCAGUUUACAUAAAUCUGUGGGAACCAUCACCAUGAAAGGUCCUCAUGAUGCUUGAGCAACAGAAAUUACCUCCACAACUUCUGGCCUGAGCUCCAGAUUUGGCUUAGCAAUGAGAUCAACCUCUGGAUGCCUUAGCCAGAAUGACAGUCUGACCACGGGACUAUGGAGACUUUAAUCAGGUCACUGUGAUAAAGGUUAGAAUCUGACUUCAUCAGACAUAGAGAGGCUCCCUGCAUGGACUUCCUGCCUCCAAGAUGUCACAGUACCCUGUAGAUAUGUAAGGACCAUCUUGUCUGACAGCCUCAACCUGAAGGGUGAGCCCCAAUGGUUCAGUUCAUUCAGGAGUCAGCCCGGCUCAGCAUCUCCCCUCUGCCUUGGCCAGUUCCUCAGCAUAUUGGGAGUCUUCCCAGCGUGAGUCACCACACACUCCACAAACAAGGAAGGAAUGACAGUGGAGUUAUUGCCCCAUGGUUGGGUGCACUCCCCUGAUUCUGAUGUGAUCACAACUGGGCUGAGUGAUAAACUAGUCCUUCCACUGCUCCUUCUGGAAGCUGCUUCAUCAUUGUCAGGAUCCUCAACAGAAUAGAUGAUGCAGAAAGCACGGCCCUUGCCUCCCAGGAACCUGGAAUACGUCGGAGAGGUGCAUCUGAGUCACAUGAUGGGGGAGACUGAGAUUGAGCUGUCAGGCCCUACACACCCCCAACCAGGAGAGCUGAGCAUUGGCUUAUCUUCACCAAGGGACAAGACUAUUUUCCUCACUCCCACUUCUUCAUUUGAAAAGCUUUAUUUAGGCAUAACUGAUGUACAAUAAAUUGCACUUAUUUAAAGUCUACGAUCUGAUGUUUUGACUUAUGUCUACCCCUGUAAAACCAUCACCACAGUCAAGACAAUAACCAUAACUUCAUCCUCCUUCAUCCCUCCUGCCCCACCUGCUCUGCUCCCAGCCAACUGUUGGCUGGGAUUAGUGAUUAGCUUACAUGUUCUAGAAUUGUAUGUACAUGGAAUUACAUGGUUUGUGCACUAUUUUUGGUCUGUCUUUUUUCAUUUCACAUUAUUUUAAGGGUCAUUCAGGCCAUUGUUUGUGUAAACAUUCUAUUCUUUUUUAUUUGCUAAGUAAUAUUUAGCAUGAUAUUCUCAACUCCAUCCAUUUACCUACAAAUGCCACAAUUUGUUUAUCUAUUCAUUUGUUAAUAGAUAUUUAGGUUGCUUCCUCAGAAAACUUGGAAUGGAAAUACCAUUUGACCCAGUUAUCUCCCUCCUUAGUAUAUACUCAAAGAUUUAACAUCAGCAUACCAAAGUGACGCAGCCACACCAAUGUUUAUAGCAGCUCAAUUCAUAAUAGCUAAGCUAUGGAACCAACCUAGGUGCUCUUCAAUAGAUGAAUGGAUAAACAAAAUGUGAUACACACACACAUAAAGAAGAAUGAGACUAUCAUGCCAUGUGAAAUAAGCCAAUAUCUCAAAACCAAAGGCCAAUUGUUCUCGAUAAUAUGCGAAUGCUAACACGCA